CCAAUGUCUGUGCGCAAAACGUAAAAUCUGGUUCGAACCGGUUUCCAUCUUAUUUUUCUAUAAAAAAAACUUUAUAAAACAUACAGCCGUUAUUAUUUGACAUUUAUUGCACGGCAGUUUUAUACACAAGCGCGUUACGUUAGCUAGUUGCGAACCAUCAUAUCCAGCCUGCUAAGCCAGAUCCCAAUUUCAAACGGUCAAGAUGCCCAGAAGAAAGAAUGACAAACCGAAGGAAGAGAAUCAGCUCAGGCGUUCCAUCAGGUUGAUAACUAAACCUGCUGCUCCCGUAACCAAAAAAGUUGCCGUCAAGAAGCUAGCCAAAGCAAAGAAGCCCAAGCCUGCCCCUGUUGAAAACAGUGAUGGCAAGGCAGACCAGGCACAAAAGGCGGAGGCUCCAGCAGACACCAAAUGAACAGCGUUCACAUUUUUCAUCAUUCUGUGUACUUGGUGACUGUACAGUUUAAAAUAACUAUUUUUUACCAAGUUUUAUAUAAAAGAAAUGCAGUUUUAGUUCCAUUGUUAGCUUGCAUAUGAUGUAUUAAAACUGCAAAGGCGGUUCUUGUGUUAGGAUCUUUUUUUUAUGCCAUUGUCCUCUAUUCCGUCCAUGUCCUGUCAAAAAAAAGAAUUAUGUGCCCUUCCCUACCAUUUUAUUUCCUGCAUUUUGGUUUUUAAAAUACUGUUUUAAAUACCGAACAUUAUCGAAGGCAGCUAAAAAUAUUUGUUAAAUGAUGUGGGAUUAAUUAUUUCCCUAAUUCUUGUUUUAAAAAAAAAUGAUUAUAAUAUAAAUGAUACCAAGGUGGGUAGUUAAAAUGUUUUGGGAAGAGAUGAUAUGGUUUCUGUUUUGACUGAAGUUUUGACUGAAAAGCAAAUGUAGAUGUGAAAAGAGAAAAUGAAGUCAACCCAUAUGAUUAUAUUUCGAAUGUGAACUUUGAUUUUGUUUAAACUGAUGAACAUGUAUUUUCUGCCCUUAUUUUUUUCCACUAAAUAUAAUGUUUAAAAGUUUUGGAAGCCGUUGUGAUGUCCUCCUAAAACAAAAUAAUGUUUUUUUUCUAGUUUAAGUGAUUUAAUAAAGGACAGCACAAAAAUCA